UACGUAGGGUGCAAGCGUUGUCCGGAAUUAUUGGGCGUAAAGAGCUCGUAGGCGGUCUGUCGCGUCGGCUGUGAAACCCUGAGGCUCAACCCCAGGCCUGCAGUCGAUACGGGCAGACUAGAGUGCGGUAGGGGAGACUGGAAUUCCUGGUGUAGCGGUGAAAUGCGCAGAUAUCAGGAGGAACACCGGUGGCGAAGGCGGGUCUCUGGGCCGUAACUGACGCUGAGGAGCGAAAGCGUGGGGAGCGAACAGG
rnacentral:rRNA from 1 species